rnacentral:rRNA from 1 species
GACGAACGCUGGCGGCGUGCUUAAUACAUGCAAGUCGAACGGAAAGGCCCUGCUUUUGCUGGUUGCUCGAUUGGCGAACGGGUGAGUAACACGUGAGUAUCCUGCCCUUGACUGUGGGAUAACUUCUGGGAACUGCGGCUAAUACAGCAUAGGAUAUCUUGCUGCGUGGUGUUGGAUGGAAAGUUUCGGCGGUUGGGGAUCGACUAGCGGCUUAUCCGCUUCUUUGGGGGGUAGUGGCUUACCAGGCCUUUGACGGGUAGCCGGCCUGAGAGGGUGAACAGCGACAUUGGGCCUGCGAGAGGGCCCAGACGCCUACGGGAGGCAGUAGGGGGGAAUCUGGCACAAUAGGCGGAAGCCAGAUGCAGAAACCCUGCGUUCGGGAUGACGGCUUACGGGUUGUAAACCGCUUUCGAAUGUGACGAAGCGUGAGUGACGGUACUGGGUAAAGAAGCACCGGCUAACUACGUG